rnacentral:lncRNA from 1 species
UUGUACAGUUUUGGGCUCUUCAUAAUCGAAUGUCUUUCUUUUCCAAGGAUGCUGUGGGUUAAUUAUUUUUUUUUAAAAAAAAGAUGAUUGUCGUCUUGUAGGAAAUCCUCUCGGCAUGUUGGGCUUUUGAUGUGGCUGAACGGCCCAGCUUCACCCUCUUGAUGGAAAUGCUUGAAAAAUUGCCAAAGCUUAACCGGAGGCUUUCUCACCCGGGACACUUCUGGAAAUCAGCUGACCUUAACAGUAGCAAAAUGGUUAUUCGUUUUGAACGAUUUGCUCUGGGAGAUCUGGAAUCCAGUAAUCAAAAGAUAUAGCUUGCUGUGUUUUAACGAUCCUUGGCUCCUGGUUUUUUUCCCCCCCUCUGUGACGUUCACACGCCUGGGAAAAAACUUGUCUGCGAUCUUAAAAUGGAAAAUCCCAAAAGUUACAGAAGGAGAAGAUGGCGAGACCUCCCGCCCAAGCCGCCCUAGCAAUACGGAUGUUUGAUGUGUUUGCUUAAGUCAGAGACUUCCUUUUUGAAAUGUUUACAUUUGAAUGACUUUUUUUUUUUCUGUGUGAAUUAACGGUUAAUAAUAAACAUGAUAAAAAGGUGUCUUUUUUUAAAAAAAAAACAAAAACCCACCACCAAGCAUUUUCACCAGCACUUUUCUUAUUUCAAAUUAUUUGGGCGCUAUUUAAACUGAUUAUAAAACUGGGUUUUGUUCGUAAAGAAGCAGAAGUUUAGAAUGUUGCAUUGGGAAUGGGCCUUUUGUCAGCUGGAAGAUUUUGACAGGUCUUGAGGGCAGCCUGGUAGUAUAUAAGCCAUGGUGGGGAACUACGGCCCUUUUAUGGCUUGUGGACUUCAACUCCCAGAAUUCCUGAGGCAUACUGGCUCAGGAUUUCUGGGAGUUGAAGUUCACAAGCCAUGAAAGGGCCGUAGUUCCCCACUUCUGAUCUAAGGUGUCUGCAGGGCACCGUUUCACCCUUCCCAACGAGCCUUCCAGCUUGAGGGAAGGCCUGGAAAAUUGUGGGCCCCUUUUUCCAACCUUCCCUGCCUGAUUGCAGUUUGAAAGUGUUAUAAUCCUGCUGGGUAGAGAGGACCACUGAGCCGGCGUGUGCAUCUCUGAAGCUGCCAAAUUGAAAAUGAGCAUGAAAUAAAAUACAUGCCAUAAUAAAGCCAUCUCACCUGGAGAACUGAGAUAGGUUGUGGCUGUACCUCUGAAAAUCGCCAUCUUAACUUUUAUCUUGAAGAAUUCCCUCAGACUGUGUCUAUGCUGGUGUCCAGGGGCAUUCCAGUCUUUUUUUUUAUUUUUUAUUUUACAACAAACUGAAAGUGGCUUACUAUCAAUUUCCGGAAUCUUGUUAAACCACCCAAUCCCUUUCUUUGUGAUCUGCAUUCUAAGUUUCUUUUCAGAUUGUGUAAAUCCCCAUUUAUCCAAUGCAGAUUGGAAGCAGAGUUUCUCAUAUAUGAGACAGCAGGAAUGAAGUUGGGGGUUAAGGUAAUUGUGUGUGCAUGUGUGUAGUUCUUGCACACUUCUACACAGCUCCCACCCUCUCCUAAGCAACAAUUUCUUAAUAUUAUGGCAUGAAUAGAAAAACUUGGAUGGUCUUGAUGCUCUUUUGUUGACUCUAGAUCCCAUCAUUCUGGCCUCUUGAUAAGAGGGAUAACAUCCAGGUUAAAUCCAUGUUUCCCCUGUCGCCUUAUGGAGGGAUGUGGAAGCCCUGUGUAUUCAGAACUACCCUUUUUAUGAACAUAAUAAAUUAAUAGUAUUAACACAGUAUAUUGCCUUUAGCUUAAUCUGGACCCAACUCUUAGGUUGUUGACACAAUAUUUUAUUUUAUUUCUCAUUUCUGAAACGAUCUUUGGAUUUAACAUUCAGAAACAUAGAAUGGAAAUAAUAUAACUGGUAUAAACAUUCUUUUUCUAUCUCUCUGAUCAAUGAAACAUGGAGAAUAAAAAUUGGAGUGGUAUUAUGGAUCCUGGGAAAUGAGUGACUGGUGACAUUAUGUGCUCAGUCCACUUUUGACAUAUAAACACUCCACCUUGGCAACUUUAAGAUUGUGUGGACUUCAACUCCCAGAAAUCCCGAGCCAGCCAUGGGAAUUCUGGGAAUUGAAGUCCACAAAUCUUAAAGCUGCCCAGGUAAAGAAAUAGUGACCUGAAGUUACAAGCCAACCCUCUCUGUCUCUGUCUGCCAGUUCCUUAAAAGGUUCCUUAAAAAAUACAAUUAUUAUUUUUUAAUAUGCCCGGAAGGAAAAUUACAAAACACACAAAAGAGAAUUCAUACAAGUUGUAAUUAUUAUAAUAAACACUUAAUAAAGUUGAGUUUAUUUCUUGUUAUGUCCUUGCUCCACCGAAUUCCUGUGUCCUGGCUCAUGUGGCAGCCGAAACUCUGUCCCCCGCACCCUCUAAUCUCUACUUUUACUCUGUUUACACUUAUAUAUCCAGAUGCAUCUUGCCAGCAAGUAAGAUAAUGACUCACGUUUCCCCCUCAUCUAAGGUAAAAGGAAUAUUUCACAGGAACACCUAUACAAACACAAAACAAAUCAAGAAAAAAACUGUGCUAUCAUGUGUUAAUUACUCUUUAUGCUGAUUGUAAGAAAAUGAAUUAGCACUGUGAGAUUGUGAGGUUAUGUCUUUCUGGUUCUUUUUAAAGGGAAGCACAUCUGUACAUCAAGAGUCUCCCUAAGUCACAAUUUAACCCCUGUACGUAAACUUUUAAGUCUGUAAUAUUGGAGAAAAUUUACUUUUUCUUCUAAAUGUAAACUUUGUACAGUAAAUACACACACCUAUAUAUAAAUAUAUAUAAAUAUAUAAAUAUUUUCU